AUUGAACGCUGGCGGCAGGCCUAACACAUGCAAGUCGAACGAGUGGCGGACGGGUGAGUAAUGUCUGGGAAACUGCCCGAUGGAGGGGGAUAACUACUGGAAACGGUAGCUAAUACCGCAUACCAUCGGAUGUGCCCAGAUGGGAUUAGCUAGUUGGUGGGGUAAUGGCUCACCUAGGCGACGAUCCCUAGCUGUUCUGAGAGGAUGACCAGCCACACUGGAAGUGAGACACGGUCCAGACUCCUACGGAGGGCAGCGGUGGGGAAUAUUGCACAUAGGGCGCAAGCCGGAUGCAGCCGUGCCGCGUGUAUGAAGAAGGCCUUCGGGUUGUAAAGUACUUUCAGCGAGGAGGCGUUACUCGCAGAAGAAGCACCGGCUAACUCCGUGCCAGCAGCCGCGGUAAUUC
rnacentral:rRNA from 1 species